GAUGAAACAAAACAAACCAUGCUAGAUGCUUCCAAUCAACCUUUUUGGUUUCUUAUCAAAAGGAGGCACCUCUUCAAUGAAAGACAGACAGUAAAAUCUCCAUGUUGAAAAAUAAAACCAGAGGUAAAAUUGAAAGCUGAAUAAAUUUACAUCUCCUUGCAAAACUUUAUUAUAUAAUCCAUUAUAUAAUCCCCCAGUAGAUUUGUCAAAUCAAUGAGUAAAAAGAAAAAUGACCAUAUAUUCAUGAAGCCUCAAUUCUUUCACAUGUAAACACAUCACUCUAUCAGCUUUAGUCCUCCAUCUGGCUCUUUACAGAUUUUAUCUUCUAGAGUAAAUGACUUUCUCUUGCACAGAACCUAGAAAACAUAUAAUUCUUUCUGAAAUGUUUCUCUCAGGUUUACUGAAAACAACAGUGAGGCUCUGGCUCUUCAAUGGAAGCUGAUUUCAUUGCAAGAAGAUCACACCGCAAAGAAGCAGGCUCUUUUCUGUCAUCAACUGGAGGAGGAAAAGGGGGCAAAAUGAGGAUCUUGAAGAUUUCUGCCAGGAUAUGUUAUUUAAAACAUUUCUCAGCUGUACUCUAUUGUAGAAUGAGAAGGAACUCAUCCAAGUAAUCAUCAUUUAUAAUCUUGGAAGACUUUCAAUAAACUAGUUGCCUGACUGAUCAUAAAUAAUCCAGACAUUUCCAAAGUACGCUGAAAUGUGCCUGCUAUACUGUGGUGAGUCAACAAUGAAUUUUCAAAUCUUCCAUCAACAUCAGUGAAACGUUAAUGAACACCAGCACUGGAAAUGGGAUGCCAGAGCAUAUAUAACUACAGGUAAGAAUUUUAGAGAUAUGCUUUAGCUAGAACCUCGCCAUAUUUUAACAUCCAUUUCUGUUAGGC
rnacentral:lncRNA from 1 species